UACGGGGGGGAGCAAGCGUUGUUCGGAUUUACUGGGCGUAAAGGGCGCGUAGGCGGCCACCGCAAGUCGGUUGUGAAAUCUCUGGGCUUAACCCAGAAAGGUCAACCGAUACUGCGGGGCUAGAGUGCAGAAGGGGCAACUGGAAUUCUCGGUGUAGCGGUGAAAUGCGUAGAUAUCGAGAGGAACACCUGCGGCGAAGGCGGGUCUCUGGGCCGAUACUGACGCUGAGGAGCGAAAGCGUGGGGAGCAAACAGG
rnacentral:rRNA from 1 species